GACGAACGCUGGCGGCGUGCCUAAUACAUGCAAGUUGAGCGCUGAAGGUUGGUACUUGUACCAACUGGAUGAGCAGCGAACGGGUGAGUAACGCGUGGGGAAUCUGCCUUUGAGCGGGGGACAACAUUUGGAAACGAAUGCUAAUACCGCAUAAAAACUUUAAAAACAAGUUUUAAGUUUGAAAGAUGCAAUUGCAUCACUCAAAGAUGAUCCCGCGUUGUAUUAGCUAGUUGGUGAGGUAAAGGCUCACCAAGGCGAUGAUACAUAGCCGACCUGAGAGGGUGAUCGGCCACAUUGGGACUGAGACACGGCCCAAACUCCUACGGGAGGCAGCAGUAGGGAAUCUUCGGCAAUGGACGAAAGUCUGACCGAGCAACGCCGCGUGAGUGAAGAAGGUUUUCGGAUCGUAAAACUCGGUUGGUAGAGAAGAACGUUGGUGAGAGUGGAAAGCUCAUCAAGUGACGGUAACUACACAGAAAGGGACGGCUAACUACGUG
rnacentral:rRNA from 1 species